UACGUUAAUAGCGUAUGGAUUUGAGUUAGCUGCAGAAGAAGCACCGGCUAACUCCGUGCCAGCAGCCGCGGUAAUACGGAGGGUGCGAGCGUUAAUCGGAAUUACUGGGGCGUAAAGCGCAUGCAGGUGGUUUGUUAAGUCAGAUGUGAAAGCCCGGGGCUCAACCUCGGAAUUGCAUUUGAAACUGGCAGACUAGAGUACUGUAGAGGGGGUAGAAUUUCAGGUGUAGCGGUGAAAUGCGUAGAGAUCUGAAGGAAUACCGGUGGCGAAGGCGGCCCCCUGGACAGAUACUGACACUCAGAUGCGAAAGCGUGGGGAGCCAAAACAGGAUUAGAUACCCCUGGUAG
rnacentral:rRNA from 1 species